rnacentral:rRNA from 1 species
UCAUAGCGACUAUCGUGGCAUAUCAAUAAGCGGAGGAAAAGAAACUAACUAGGAUUCCCUCAGUAACGGCGAGUGAAGCGGGAAGAGCUCAAAUUUGAAAUCUUCAAGGUUCUACCUUGACGAAUUGUAGUUUAAAGAAGUGUUUUCUGUUGGAGUUUUGGUAAAAGUUCUUUGGGAUAGGACAUCAUAGAGGGUGAGAAUCCCGUAUUUGACCAUUAUUUCCAACUUUGUGAUACACUUUCAAAGAGUCGGAUUGUUUGGGAAUGCAGUCCAAAAUGGGUGGUAAAUUUCAUCUAAAGCUAAAUAUUGGCGAGAGACCGAUAGCGAACAAGUACCGUGAGGGAAAGAUGAAAAGAACUUUGAAAAGAGAGUUAAACAGUACGUGAAAUUGUCAAAAGGGAAGCGUUUGACACCAGUGUUGUUUUUCCGAAAAUCAAUUACGAAUGUUUUGUUUUUGAGGAGCUAUGACUUCAUCGGCUUGCUCCUUUCUUUACGAAACUUUCUUAAUGCACUUUUCGGUUAACAAGUCAACAUCAAUUUCUUUUGUUGUAAAAGGGUAUGAGGAAGGUGGCCUUCUUUUCGGAGAAAGUGUUUAUAGCCUUGUGCCUCUGCAAUCGGAGAGAUUGAAGUCUGCAGCGUAGAUCCUUCGGGGUUAGAUACAUUUGUGCUAAGCUAUAGCCUUUCAUAGACAACUUGUUGACUAUGAUCAGUCAUGUAGCUUACUCGCUUAUGCUAUUUUACCUACGCUUAGGAUGUUGACGAGACUGUCGACUAAGGUAGCUAAACCCGCUCCAGCGGCUAGUAAGGGCUAUACCGGCCCGUCUAUCGUAGAGUACCUACGCUUAGGAUGUUGAUAUGCAUGACUGAUAU